AAAGCAACCCAUUCGCCCGAGGACUACCAGCACAAGCUAAAAACUCAAAAGACUUGACGGUGCUCUACCCUACCUAGAGGAGCCUGUUCUCUAAUCGAUACUCCACGAUCUACCCGACCAUCACUGGCAACUCCAGCCUAUAUACCGCCGUCGAAAGUAUAUCCCUCAAGAGACCCAUAAUUUUCUCAACAGUCUCACCCACUAAAACGUCAGGCCAAGGCAUAGCUAAUGUGAUGGCAGAAAUGGGCUACAUUUUCUAAUAGCAGAAAACACGAAAGAUGACAUGAAACCCUGUCACCCCAAGGCGGAUUUAGCAGUAGGACGAAAA
rnacentral:rRNA from 1 species